rnacentral:rRNA from 1 species
UACGAGGGGCGCAAGUGUUGUUCGGAAUCACUGGGCGUAAAGGGAGCGUAGGCGGGCUUUUAAGUGAGGUGUUUAAUCCCGGGGCCCAACCCCGGACCGGCACCUCAAACUGGGAGUCUUGAAUAGUGGAGAGGUCAGUGGAAUUGGGGGUGUAGCGGUGGAAUGCGUAGAGAUCCCCAAGAACACCGGUUGCGAAGGCGGCUGACUGGACACAUAUUGACGCUGAGGCUCGAAAGCAUGGGGAGCAAACAGG